CCCUGGUGGCUCAGCGGUUAAGAAUCCACCUGCCAAUGCAGGGGACACAGGUUCGAGCCCUGGUCCGGGAUGAUUCCACAUGCCGCGGAGCAACUAAGCCUGUGUGCCACAACUACCGAGCCUGUGCUCUAGAGCCUGUGAGCCACAACUACUGAAGCCCGUGUGCCACAACUACUGAAGCCCACGUGCCUAGAGCCCGUGCUCUGCAGCAAGAGAAGCCACUGCAAUAAGAAGCCCGCACACUGCAACAAAGCGUAGCCCCCUCUCACCACAAGUAGAGAAAGCCCGUGCACAGCAACGAAGACCCAAUGCAGCCAAAAAUAAAUAAAUAAACAAACAAACAAAUGUAUUUAAAAAAAAAAAAUCCUUGGUCCAAGAUUGGUGCUUGUCUAAAACAUUUGUUUUGAGUACGUUUCCAGGACUGGGAUAGGAAGAACCUUGAAUAUCCCAUGGAGAAUGCUUCUCCCAACUGACGUUGAACAGGACUGAAAGGCCUCCAAAUGCCCUCCUCUCCAUAUAGGAGCACUGUGGUCACAUGUCAUCCCCUAGCCCUCCUUUUCCCACCUGUCCUAUUGUAGGAAACACAUUUUCUGCUUCUCAGAAGCCAAGCUGUAAGUCUGUCUCAUGAGAUGAAAGUGGAACUAUCUCAGCCCUUUCAGGGAAAGCUUUUGCUUUCUUGGUAAAAGGGAAAGAUGAGCUGGUGGUUACCCUUUGUCCCAGUUCAAGUUUGAACCAUGUGGCCCCGGUGCCUGGAGGUGCAACAGUGGCUGGACCAUGGGCAACAAGCCUACUUGCCGUGGUCGGCAGAACAGAACCUGUAGAUUCAUCGCCAGCCCUGGACUUCUCACCUCUGGACUUCUUACACCUGAAAAAGGAGCCCUUUCUUGUUUAAGUCCCAGCAGACCCAGGUUUCUGUAACUUAUGGGCAGACACAUCCCUGACUGAUACAGAAUUAGGUAUCUGAAAAUGAGUGGCUCCCAGGAUUAUUUUUUAAAUUUAAUGCGGAGCUUAGGAGGUGCUGUUUAUUUCACUGCAUUUUAACAAGUGUUUACUGAACGUUUUCUGCACGCCACGCAUUGUGCAAGACCAACGACACAAAAGGAACAAGAUGCAUUUAGAGUCCAAGCCACAUAGAAAUAUGAAUCCAUAUUCAGCAAAGGUAGUUUUGUGAUUGGCUGGCUCAUUCUUGUAACAAUUAUUGUGCAUCUAUAGUGAACCAGACUCUUGGAGCUAAAGAUACAGAGAUGAAUAUCAUGGCCCUAAGCUUUUAGGAGCACAGUCUUCCAAAUAUCCAUCCUUCAUCUACCCAAUAAAUGUUCGUUGAGAACCUACUAUGUACCAGGCAGGCUCAGAGCUCAUGUGUUGAGGAGAAACAUCAGUAAACAGGAUUACAAAAUCAUUCUGCUUUUGAAUAGGACCAUAGGUGCCAGAAGCUGAAUUCAGGAAGGAAUGAAACAAGGGGAGGGGACCCAGAUGGAGGCACUUUGGUGGGUCUGACCAGCAUGAACGGUCAGGGCUCUCCCUGCGGGAUGACCGGGUGCUCCAGUCCCACUUGGGCCACAAGCCCUCUCCCUCUUCCAUGUUUUGCGUCUGGCCGGGCAGUUUCCGCUGGCCCACAUCCUUCGCUUCAAAGCCCAAUUUCCUCCAGGGUGUUGGCUGUGUAAUCAGUGCCUGCAUCUCCAUCAGUCCACCCAGUGCCCUUGUUACCUCUCCUUUGCCCCCCAAUCUGCCUUUCCGUCCCUAAUUCAGAGACCUGUAGUGCCAGGGCUGGGAAGCCCCCUUUUAGGUCUUUCAGUCACUUUAGGGUAACUGAGGCCCAGAGAAGGGAAGAGGCUCAUCCAAGGUCAGCAAAUUAGCUGGUGGCAGCAGUUGGCACCAGAACCUAGGUCUCCUGAUGCCUGGCCCUUCCUAUAAAUCUGUCUAUGGUUGGUGAAGCCCAAGGGGACAAGCUGCUCUUCUGAGCCAGGCUUGAGCCUUCAGGAGCGCCCACCCCGCUCCUGGAGUCACAGCUCCUCACUUUGGGAACCGUUCUUCCCCAGCUCGGAAAGCUUGGUUCCUGUCCUAGCCGCCUGCACCUUCAGGACCUCCACGAUGGAGGGGGAGUGGGGACACCAAAAACCCCUGCUGUCGCCAUCAGCUGUGUCCCUUCACACAGGGGUGGGGGGCUGGUUCACCGUGAAAUAAGGCGACCAUCAGCAGGAAGAAGAGAUGAGAGCGGGGCGGGUCCCGGCUGUGUCCAGGCGUCCUUGUGCCCGUUGUCCCUGUAGCAGGCUGUCAUCCUGUCCUGUGGCUUGUCCUAAAUAACCUCAGCAUUCUUCCAGAAAACUGCCCUUUUGCCUACGCUCCUUUGAGUUAGAUAUCUGUCCUUCAGACCCAAGAGUCUAAUGCCCUUGCCCCGUGGGACUGAUUUUGGUGCCUUGCUUUUUCUUUAACCUUACGCAGUCUCAUCCUUCUCUCCUUCCCUCUGCAGCCCUGUGCCUGAGGAAGCUCUGCAGAGCGGCUGGCAGAGACCCCAGACACAGCCCUGGAUGCUUCUGGCACAUGACACCGUUUAGAAAUUAAUUCCCUGGCUAAUUCUUGAAGCCCUUUUGAAGCAAGCAGCAAAGGCCUGGGAACAGCUUCAAAGCUCUUCUCAAAUCCCGUUUAGAAACUUCCCAGCAGCAGAUCUAUAAUUUAGCUUUCUUUUUAGUUUUAAACAUUUUAUUGCAAAAAUAAAUAACCCCCAACUCUGGUCUAGAAACCAUUAUUACGUGUUAUCUAUAGGUAACUUCAGUGCCCUGGGACAGAACCCUUGACUCGCUGGUAAUGACAAUUGUUUCUUUAUUAAGUUUCUUAUAACCCUGGAAAAGUUUCUAUGUAAGCAGAGGAAUGUGAAGCAAAUUAAACUCAUACUUUUGAAAAUUUGGGGUUAGUUUAGGUGAUCUGUAUUUGGUAUUUUAAGAACUUUUAAUUUUAAGAGAAAGUGUCAAAUUUGGGUAACCAAUGUAGGAAGCUUGUGACUCGAAUUGAGUAAUUGAUGUAGACUUGUGUUAAGCUAAAAGGUGCAAUGCAAUUUUAUUAAGAUUGUAAGCAGUAUGGGAACAUUUAAGUGAACUCAAGAUUCACCAUAUUCAGUUGGUCAAGACUUGGAAAGUGGGACUUCCCUGGUGGCGCAGUGGUUAAGAAUCUGCCUGCCAAUUCAGGGGACACGGGUUCGAGCCCUGGUCUGGGAAGAUCCCACAUGCUGUGGAGCAGCUAAGCCCGUGCGCUACAACUACUGAAGCCUGCAUGCUCUAGAGCCCGUGCUCCACAACAAAAGAAGCCACCGCAAUGAGAAGCCCGCACACUGCAACGAAGAGUAGCCCCUGCUCACCGCAACUGGAGAAAGCCCGCACGCAGCAACGAAGACCCGACGCACCCAAAAAUAACAGUCGUUUGCUCCUUACAUUCAGCCGACAACUGGUAUUCUUUGUUGCCGAGAUGGGGAAUCAGAGGCAGAGGAAGGGAGAAGUGGCCUCGGCAGCAGAACCGGAGCCAGCGCUGGACUUGGUCACGCAUCCGCCACCCGCCUCCACGGCCUGACCCGUCCACUGUUUCGUUUGCCUCUUGAGUGAGUGUCCUUAUUACAGGUGAAGUGAAACCUAUGUCAUAAAGCAGAUUUACCCUUUUUC